rnacentral:rRNA from 1 species
UGAGGAAUAUUGGUCAAUGGGCGGGAGCCUGAACCAGCCAAGCCGCGUGAGGGAAGAAGGCCCUAUGGGUCGUAAACCUCUUUUGUCAGGGAACAAAAGCGAGUAUGUAUACUGGUCUGAGUGUACCUGAAGAAAAACGCAUCGGCUAACUCCGUGCCAGCAGCCGCGGUAAUACGGGGGAUGCGAGCGUUAUCCGGAUUUAUUGGGUUUAAAGGGUGCGUAGGCGGCGGUGCAAGUCAGCGGUAAAAGCCCGGGGCUCAACCCCGGCGAGCCGUUGAAACUGCAGUGCUAGAGAAGGCGAGAGGUACGCGGAAUGCGCAGUGUAGCGGUGAAAUGCUUAGAUAUUGCGCAGAACUCCGAUUGCGAAGGCAGCGUACUGGCGCCUGACUGACGCUGAGGCACGAAAGCGUGGGGAUCGAACAGGAUUAGAUACC